rnacentral:sRNA from 1 species
CGGUUAGCUCCGUGCUGUCGUCUGACCCCCCGACCCGACGGCAGCACGGAGCAUUCCU